UUUUUAUACGACCGCAAAAAAAUUUUGCGGUUGUAUAUUGGUAUGACGUUGGCUUCCUCGUCCUCGUCGUCGUCGUCGUCCGAAGACACAUUGGUUUUCACACUCUAACUUAAGUUUAAGUAAAUGGAUCUCUAUGACAUUUUACCAUAAGGUUCAAUACCACAAAAGGAAGGUUGGGAUUGAUUUUGGGGGUUAUUGUACCAACAGUUAAGGAAUAUGGGGCCAAAAAUAAGCAUUUUUGUAACUUCCAGACAUAUCUUGUGUGUUAGUGUAUGGAUCUCUCUGACAUUGUACCACAAGGUUCCAUAUCAUAAAGGGAAUGCUGGGAUUGAUUUCGGGGUAAUUGCCUCCAAAUUUUAGGAAAAAGGGGCAAAAAAACAAGCAUUUUUCUAGUUUCAGGACAAUAACUUGUGUGUAAGUGUAUGGAUCUUUAUGAAAUUGUACUACAAGGUUCCAUAUCACAAAGGGAAAGCUGGGUUUGAGUUUGGGGGUAAUUGCUCAAACGUUAAGGAAUUUGGGGCCAAAAAAAGGGCCUAAAAUCAAGCAUUUUUCUAGUUUCCAGACAAUUACUUGUGUUCAAGUGUACAGAUCUCUCUGAAAUUGUACAGCAAGGUACCAUACCACAAAGGGAAGGCUGGGAUUGAUUUUGGGGGUAAUUGCCUCAAAAGUUUAGGAAUUAGGGGCCAAAAAGGGGCAAAAAAACAAACAUUUUUCUAGUUUCGGGACAAUAACUUGUGUGUAAGUGUAUGGAUCUUUAUGAAAUUGUACUACAAGGUUCCAUAACACAAAGGGAAAGCUGGGUUUGAGUUUUGGGGUAAUUGCCCUAAACGUUUAGGAAUUUGGGGCCAAAAAGGGGCCUAAAAACCAGCAUUUUUCUAGUUUCAUGACAAUAACUUGUGUGUAAGUGUAUGGAUCUUUCUGAAAUUGUACUACAAGGUUCCAUAUCAUAAAGAAAAAGCUGGAAUUGAGUUUGGGGGUAAUUGCCCAAAACGUUUAGGAAUAAGGGGCCAAAAAUAAGCAUUUUUCUAGUUUCCAGACAAUAACAUGUGUUCAAGUGUAUGGAUCUCUCUGAAAUUGUACAGCAAGGUACCAUACCACAAAGGGAAGGCUGGGAUUGAUUUUGGGGGUGAUUGCCUCAAAAUUUUAGGAAUAAGGGGCCAAAAAGGGUAAAAAAAACAAGCAUUUUUAGCUCACCUGGCCCAGAGGGCCAAGUGAGCUUUUCUCAUCACUUGGCGUCCGUUGUCCGUCGUCCGUCGUCGUCGUCCGUUAACUUUUACAAAAAUCUUCUCCUCUGAAACUACUAGGCCAAAUUUAACCAAACUUGGCCACAAUCAUGAUUAGGGUAUCUAGUUAAAAAAAUGUGUCCGAUGACCCCGCCUGCCAACCAAGAUGGCCGCCAUGGCUAAAAAUAGAACAUAGGGGUAAAAUGCAGUUUUUGGCUUAUAUCUCUGAAACCAAAGCAUUUAGAGCAAAUCUGACAGGGGUAAAAUUGUUUAUCAGGUCAAGAUCUAUCUGCUCUGAAAUUUUCAGAUGAAUUGGACAACCCAUUGUUGGGUUGCUGCCCCUGAAUUGGUAAUUUUAAGGAAAUUUUGCCGUUUUUGGUUAUUAUCUUGAAUAUUAUUAUAGAUAGAGAUAAACUGUAAAGGAGUUAUUGCCCUUUAUAGUCAAUUUUUAACCAUUUUUCGUAAAUUUUUGUAAUCUUUUACAAAAAUCUUCUCCUCUGAAACUACUGAGACAAAUUUAACCAAACUUGUCCACAAUCAUCAUUAGGGUAUCUAGUUUAAAAAAUGUGUCUGAUGACCCCGCCCGCGAACCAAGAUGGCCGACAUGGCUAAAAAAUAGUACAUAGGGUAAAAUGCAGUUUUUGGCUCAUAUCUCUGAAACCAAAGCAUUUAGAGCAAAUCUGAUGAGGAUAAAAUUGUUCAUUAGGUCAAGAUCUAUCUGCCCUGAAAUUUUCAGACCAAUCAGGCAACACGUUGUUGGGUUGCUGCCCCUGAAUUGGUAAUUUUAAGAAAAUUUUGCAGCUUUUGGUUAUUAUCUUGAAUAUUAUUAUAUUUAGAGAUAAACUGUAAACAGCAAUAAUGUACAGCAAAGUUAGAUCUACAAAUAAGUCAACAUGACCAAAAUUGUCAAUUGACCCCUUAAGGAGUUAUUGCCCUUUAUAGUCAAUUUUUUACAAUUUUCAUAAAUUUUGUAAAUUUUUGUAAAUUUUUACAAAAUAUUUUCCACUGUAACUACUGGGCCAAGUUCAUUAUAGAUAGAGAUAAUAGUAAGGAGCAAGAAUGUUCAGUAAAGUAAGAUCUACAAACACAUCACCAUCACCAAAACACAAUUUUGUCAUGAAUCCAUCUGUGUCCAUUGUUUAAUAUGCACAUAGACCAAGGUGAGCGACAAAGGCUCUUUAGAGCCUCUAGUUCUAGUUUCCAGACAAUAACUUGUGUUCAAGUGUAUGGAUCUCUCUGAAAUUGUACUGCAAGGUACCGUACCACAAAGGGAAGGCUGGGAUUGAGUUUGGGGGUGAUGAAUCAUAAGGGGGUUCAAAAAAUUUGGGGGAGGGAUUUUUUUUUCCUUUUUUUUUCUUUAAAAUUUUCCAUUUUAAAUUGGUUAUUUCUUAUUUAUAUAUAAAAGCAAAUAAUGAUGAUAUGGUUUGAAUAGGUAAAUUAAAAAUUUUUAAGUUCUUAGACCACAUUCAUUCUGUGUCAGAAACCUAUGCUGUGUCAAAUAUUUAAUCACAAUCUAAAUUCAGUGCUGUAUCAAGCUUGAAUGUUGUGUCCAUACUUGCCCCAACUGUUCAGGGAUAGACCUCUGCGGUCGUAUCAAGCUGCGCCCAGUGGAGCAU